GACACCGUGGCCGAGUGGUUAAGGCGAUGGCCUGCUAAGCCAUUACUCUCUGGGUGCGCGAGUUCGAAUCUCGUCGGUGUCG
rfam:Aureococcus anophagefferens unplaced genomic scaffold ATRANscaffold_13, whole genome shotgun sequence.